rnacentral:rRNA from 1 species
GACGAACGCUGGCGGCGUGCCUAAUACAUGCAAGUCGAGCGGAUUGAUGGGAGCUUGCUCCCUGAUAUCAGCGGCGGACGGGUGAGUAACACGUGGGCAACCUGCCUAUAAGACUGGGAUAACUUCGGGAAACCGGAGCUAAUACCGGUUAAUCCCUUUCCUCUCAUGAGGAAAGGCUGAAAGAUGGUUUACGCUAUCACUUAUAGAUGGGCCCGCGGCGCAUUAGCUAGUUGGUGAGGUAACGGCUCACCAAGGCAACGAUGCGUAGCCGACCUGAGAGGGUGAUCGGCCACACUGGGACUGAGACACGGCCCAGAAUCCUACGGGAGGCAGCAGUAGGGAAUCUUCCGCAAUGGACGAAAGUCUGACGGAGCAACGCCGCGUGAGUGAUGAAGGUUUUCGGAUCGUAAAACUCUGUUGUUAGGGAAGAACAAGUACGAGAGUAACUGCUCGUACCUUGACGGUACCUAACCAGAAAGCCACGGCUAACUACGUGCCAGCAGCCGCCGUAA